GUUCACUGGGUUUGUAUUGAACUGCUCCUAGGAAAUACGGCAGGUGGCAGUGAAGUCACAAAGGUUCCACGUAUCUCUAAACACCUCCUAACGGAUACCAGUUUUCACAUCAGCAUCCUGGAGUUUGCCCUUGGAGAAAUGAAAAUUCAGAAUCUUCGAUCCCAAAAUGCGAGCUCACAUCGAUCCGUUGACCAAUGAAGUGAGGGUACCUUCCCCAUUUCGGGUACUGAUUGAUACCAAGGAAAUCGUCCCGGAUCAACCGAUCACUAAGUUCAACAUGGCUGAUCCAAGUUACGUGUCCCAGCAGGAGUUGAGCAGGGUGCGAAGGUUGAUUGAAAUUUUGCAACUGCGUCUUAUAAGCUUCUAUUUGAAGUCACCAGAUUAGGCUGUGACUAAAUAUUGCAAACUAUUCAAACCUUUAAUUUUAUGUUUGCCCUCCCAGAAAUUGCAUAAUCCUGCAUUUUAGGAACAACAAUCUUUGCUUCACAUCAGCAGCCUGGAGAUUGCCCUUAGACAAAUCAAAAUCUGAUCACCACUUUUAGCGAUCAAGCUCCCAGGGGAAACUUGGAUCCCUAAACGCGUGCCCACUUAGAUCCGUUGACCAAUGAAGUGGUGCGGGUGGCUUCCCCAUUUUGGGUACUGCUCGGUACCAAGGAAAUCUUCCCGGAUGGCCAACAUGGCUAAUAUCAAAGUCACGUUUCCCAGGAGGAGUUGAACAGCUGUCCAAGGAAAACAAACAUGAAGAACGGGCCCGGGAAAAGGAAAGGGCGCGGGAGGAAGCAGCCGUGGAACAGAAACGCGAGAAGGGAGCGGAGAAACGGCG